UACGAGGGGUGCAAGCGUUGCUCGGAAUUAUUGGGCGUAAAGAGCUCGUAGGCGGCUUGUCGCGUCGGAUGUGAAAGCCCGGGGCUUAACUCCGGGUCUGCAUUCGAUACGGGCAGGCUAGAGUUCGGUAGGGGAGAUCGGAAUUCCUGGUGUAGCGGUGAAAUGCGCAGAUAUCAGGAGGAACACCGGUGGCUAAGGCGGCUCUCUAGUACGGUACUGACGCUGAGACGCGAAAGCGUGGGGAGCGAACAGG
rnacentral:rRNA from 1 species